UUCCGGUUGAUCCUGCCGGACCUGACUGCUAUCGGAUUGGUACUAAGCCAUGCGAGUCAUUGUAGUAAUACAAGGCAUACGGCUCAGUAACGCGUAGUCAAUCUACCCUAAGGACGGGGAUAACCUCGGGAAACUGAGAAUAACACCCGAUAGAACAUAGCUCCUGGAAUGGUUUAUGUUUCAAAUAAUUUAUUGCCCUAGGAUGGGACUGCGGCCUAUCAGCUUGUUGGUGAGGUAAUGGCCCACCAAGGCUAUUACAGGUACGGGCUCUGAGAGGAGAAGCCCGGAGAUGGGUACUGAGACACGGACCCAGGCCCUAUGGGGCGCAGCAGGCGAGAAACCUUUGCAAUGUGCGCAAGCACGACAAGGUUAAUCCGAGUGUUUCCUGCUAAAGGAAUCUUUUGUUAGUCGUAAAACCACUGAUGAAUAAGGGGUGGGCAAGUUCUGGUGUCAGCCGCCGCGGUAAAACCAGCACCUCAAGUGGUCAGGAUGAUUAUUGGGCCUAAAGCAUCCGUAGCUGGCUAAGUUAGUCCCUUGUUAAAUCCACCGAAUUAAUCGUUGGAUUGCGGGGGAUACUGCCAGGCUAGGGGACGAGAGAGGCAGACGGUAUUUUCGGGGUAGGGGUGAAAUCCUAUAAUCCCGGGAAGACCACCAGUGGCGAAGGCUGUCUGCUAGAACGCGCCCGACGGUGAGGGAUGAAAGCUGGGGGAGCGAACCGGAUUAGAUACCCGGGUAGUCCCAGCUGUAAACGAUGCAGGCUAGGUGUUUGGGCGGCCACGUGCCGCUCUAGUGCCGCAGGGAAGCUGUUAAACCUGCCGCUUGGGGAGUACGGUCGCAAGACUGAAACUUAAAGGAAUUGGCGGGGGAGCACCGCAACGGGAGGAGCGUGCGGUUCAAUUGGAGUCAACGCCGGA
rnacentral:rRNA from 1 species